AAAAUACUCCCUCCGUCCGGAAAUACUUGUCGGAGAAAUGGAUGUAUCUAGAUGUAUUUUAGUUCUACAUACAUGUAUUUUUUAUCCAUUUCUAUGGCAAGUAUUUCCAAACGGAGGGAGUAGAAA
rfam:Triticum aestivum genome assembly, contig: Triticum_aestivum_CS42_TGACv1_scaffold_095630_2AL